GAAGAACAAGUACCGGCGUAACUACCGGUACCGUGACGGUACCUCACCAGAAAGCCACGGCUAACUACGUGCCAGCAGCCGCGGUAAUACGUAGGUGGCAAGCGUUGUCCGGAAUUAUUGGGCGUAAAGCGCGCGCAGGCGGCUUCUUAAGUUUGAUGUGAAAUCUCGGGGCUCAACCCCGAGCGGCCAUUGGAAACUGGGAAGCUUGAGUACAGAAGAGGAGAGUGGAAUUCCACGUGUAGCGGUGAAAUGCGUAGAUAUGUGGAGGAACACCAGUGGCGAAGGCGACUCUCUGGUCUGUAACUGACGCUGAGGCGCGAAAGCGUGGGGAGCAAACAGGAUUAGAUACCCUGGUAGUCCACGCCGUAAACGAUGAGUGCUAGGUGUUAGGGGUUUCGAUGCCCGUAGUGCCGAAGUAAACAC
rnacentral:rRNA from 2 species